CCCUUGGGUUCGAUUCCGGAGAGGGAGCCUUAGAAACGGCUACCACUUCUAAGGAAGGCAGCAGGCACGUAAAUUACCCAAUCCAGAUACUGGGAGGUAGUGACAAGAAAUAACAGAGUAAUCCACUUACGUGGAGUUAUUAUUGGAAUGAGAAGAAUUCAAAUCCCUUUUCGACUAUCGAUUGGAGGGCAAGUCUGGUGCCAGCAGCCGCGGUAAUUCCAGCUCCAAUAGCGUAUAUUGAAGUUGUUGCGGUUAGAAAGCUCGUAGUUGGACUUCUGACGGGAAAGAGCGGUCACGCCUUGGGUGUUGUAUUUGUUUCUAUCCUGUCAUCCUCGUGCGCGUAGUUUUGCUUUAUCGCUUUUCUACGGGCGCGACUUUUACUUUGAGGAAAUUAGAGUGUUCACGGCAGGCAAUCGCUUUGAAUAUAUUAGCAUGGGAUAAUAACAUAGGACCAUCGUUCUGUUUAUUGGUUUGCGGAACUUUGGUAAUGGUUAAUAGGGAUAAUUGGGGGCAUUUGUAUUAACACGUCAGAGGUGAAAUUCUUGGAUUGUGUUACGACAAACUACUGCGAAAGCAUUUGCCAAGGAUGUUUUCAUUGAUCAAGAACGAAAGUUAGGGGAUCGAAGACGAUUAGAUACCGUCGUAGUCUUAACCAUAAACUAUGCCGACUAGAGAUCUGUCGUAGUCUUUUACUGACUCGAUGGGCACCUUAUGAGAAAUUAAAGUCUUUGGGUUCCGGGGGGAGUAUGGUCGCAAGGCUGAAACUUAAAGGAAUUGACGGAAGGGCACCACCAGGAGUGGAGCCUGCGGCUUAAUUUGACUCAACACGG
rnacentral:rRNA from 1 species